CUUUAAACUUCAUGUCAACUAUUUCUAAAUCAUUGCUCUUUAAACUUUCUGUUUUUCUACUACUUCGUUAGUUAUUUCAUCUAUUUCUUGCUUCAUUUCCUCUAUUUCUUGCUUCAUUUCCUCUAUUUCAUGCUUCUGAUUGAUACCUAUUUUUGUUGAAUUAUGCAUUAGCCUUGGUUAGCAUAACUCCAAAAUAUAUGCUUAUGGAAUAUGUGUUUCUUUAUUUUCAUAUCCAGAUGUUUGUGCUUAACUAUUCAGAGUUGGUUCAAGGUAAUUUUCUGCAUAAUUUGGAGUGAGAUCGGGGUGAUUUUCUGCAUAAUUUAGAGUUGGCUUUCGGCAUGUGGACUAAUGUAGUGCAGCAGCAGUGUUUUUGCACUGCAGCUUCUACCUGGUGGCGUUUUUUCCUCCCUGCGUUCUGAUUUGUCUCUGUGUUCCAGCUGCAACAUAUCGGUUUUACUUUCUUCUCUUUGCCUUGGUCUUCGUGUGUUUUGGCUCAAUUUACAAAAAAAAUACUGUCUUUUUAACUGGCUGUUUGUAUUGGUCUCCUGUUGCUUUUUUAGAAUAGGUUGUUGUAGUUUGGCUCUUUAGUGUAGUUGAUUUUGGUUUGUUUUCUUUGGGAUAGUUUCUUAUGUUCUCUUGGUUCUCAUUUCCUUGGGUUUCUUUUACUGCUACUGCAUAACUACUGUAUGUCAUGUUUGUCUUUUUAUAAUGUUCAUAUAAAUUUUGUGUAGUCUCAAAACUACAGGUAAUCCUUACAAAAAUAAGUUAUGGACCUUAGUGGAUUAGUUGUUGUGAGCAGCAUGUCAAGGAAGCAAAUUUAGGACAUAGUACAUGGCCAUUGAAGAACUGCUUGGGGCUGCCAAUCGCAUGCUUAAUUUAUGUGGUGUGUAUUUAUAUACGUUCGGGACUGGUGUGGUGCCAAUAUGCCUUCAAAAUUAUAGGUAUCUCAACCAAGAAUAUCCAAUAAGGAAUUGGAAGAGCUAAACACUUCAACAUGCAAGAAAGUACAGUUUAUGGCAUAUGUUGAUGGAAGUGGUAGAGAUUUGAUGAUCACUAACGGCUUAGGGGAGUUGUGUUGAUAUUUACUGUGACAAAGGUUUGUAGUAUGACGAUUUGUGAAAAGUUGUAAUGAGUAUUGUAAUCGGUAGUGUUGGCACUAUUGUGUUGUCUCCAUACAUCAUUCAUUAGUAAUAUUAAUUUUUCAUUAAAUAGCCAGGUUUGAAUGCAAACUUAGAUUAUUGUUUUACAAUCAAACAAAUGCAAACUUACAAGGAUGAGGCAAAUAUAAGGCUUCAUAAGCAAUAGUAAGUGCAAUUUGCCUGGUGAUAACUUCUUUGUAAAAAUAAAAAUCUCUAGUGUAUGAUUUUUAGGAUAACUUCUUUGUAAAAAUAAAAAUAUCUAGUGUAUGAUUUUUAGGAUUUGA